UUUGUAUUACGUGCGGAAAUUGUUACCAUUUUCGAGCCGAAAAUGGUAACAAUUUCCGCACGUAAUACAAA
rnacentral:miRNA from 1 species